rnacentral:rRNA from 1 species
ACGGCUCAGUAACACGUGGAUAACAUGCCCUAAGGUGGGGGAUAAUCUCGGGAAACUGAGGAUAAUACCCCAUAGGUCUGAUCUGCUGGAAUGCUUUCAGGCCGAAAACUCCGGUGCCUUAGGAUUGGUCUGCGGUCUAUCAGGCUGUAGUGGGUGUAAUGGACCCACUAGCCCGUGACGGAUAUGGGCCUUGAGAGAGGGAGCCCAGAGAUGGACUCUGAGACAUGAGUCCAGGCCCUACGGGGCGCAGCAGUCGCGAAAACUUCGCAAUGGGGGCAACCCCGACGAGGGAAUUCCAAGUGCCAGCACUUUGUGUUGGCUGUUCUCCUGUCUAAAAAACAGGAGGAGUAAGGGGCGGGUAAGACGGGUGCCAGCCGCCGCGGUAAUACCCGCGCCCCUAGUGGUGGUCGAUAUUAUUGAGCCUAAAACGUCCGUAGCCGGUCUUCUAAAUCCUUGGGUAAAUCGGGCAGCUUAACUGUCCGAAGUCCGGGGAGACUGGGAGACUUGGGACCGGGAGAGGUCAGAGGUACUUCUGGGGUAGGGGUAAAAUCCUGUAAUCCUGGAAGGACCACCGGUGGCGAAGGCGUCUGACUAGAACGGAUCCGACGGUGAGGGACGAAGCCCUGGGGCGCAAACGGGAUUAGAUACCCCGGUAGUCCAGGGUGUAAACGCUGCGGGCUUGGUGUUGGGGGUCCUUAGUGGGCGCCCAGUGCCGGAGAGAAGUUGUUAAGCCUGCUGCUUGGGGAGUAUGUCCGCAAGGAUGAAACUUAAAGGAAUUGGCGGGGGAGCAC